GCCGGGGUGGUGAAAUUGGUAGACGCGCUGGACUCAAAAUCCAGUGGACUUCGGUCCGUGCGAGUUCGAGUCUCGCCCCCGGCACCA
rnacentral:tRNA from 1 species